UCCCUGGUGGCCCUGUUCUACAGCCUGGCUCUGAUUUUGCCACUCCAGGUGCCUUAUAGAAACCAAAGCACACAAUAGCUGUCCUUCUGUGUCUGGCUUAUUUUACCUAGAUUCAAAUUCCAUGUUGUAGUAUAUAUCAAAAUUUCAUUCCUUUUUAUGGCCAGAGAGUAUUUCAUUUUAUGUAGAUGCCACAUUCUGGUGACAGCUGCAUGCCCCGUGCCCGGUGCAAUGCCUGAAGUCAGAGCCCCAAGAACGUGUUUGCUGAAUGAACGAAGUAAUGAUAGGAGUGAGCCUUCCUGGUCUUGCUCUGUAAGAACAUUUGCCUUUGAGAUCCUGGAGGAACACUCAUAGAGAAAGAGGUGAGUAGGGAUGAGGGUGGUAAGCCGUGAGUGGGAGAGUGGUUCGAAGAUGGACAAAGGUAUGUAGCAGGGGUUCCUUCCUGCCCUGGGCAUAGCAGCUCUGUCUUCCUAUUCUCAAUGCAGAGGGAUCUGGGGGAAAUCUUCUGUAGGAGCAUAGUUUAAGGGUCCAGAGUCUCCUGACCAGACUUCUUAUCACCUUUUAGGUUCCUCAGAAUAUGUGUGGGGUACUGUGCAAUGAUGGAGGUGUCCCAGGUCUAAAAGGAUGGAGAUGUCCCUUUGGGCACCUGUUCUCAACCUGUUCAGAACAUUGGAAAAACCCGGUUCGCUGUCAUCAACCUCCUGGAACCCUAGUCCCAGAACUGCUGUCUGAAGUGGGGAGGCCCUGGCUUCUCCCAGGCAGAGCUGAGAUCAAGGUGGGCGAAGGACAAGCUCCCUGUUUUGCUCCAUAUGAGCUGUAGAACAAAGAUUCAAUCCCUCCGAAUUCCAAGAAACAGCAUGCAUAGAGGCUGGAAGCUUCACCCUGUUUCUCGGAGGCCUCAGGACUUCUGGAGAAAAGCCAGGCAGAUGCACGGGUCCCAGAAUGCUGCCCACAGCUGCCCAUUCAGGUGGCCAGAUGUGUUGCUUCAACUCCGGGGACACUUUCUUGGAACGGUGACAGCCAUCCCUUCAGCUCCAGGGUUUCUUCACCCUCCCCACGGCAUGCAGGGACAACCUGACACCUAUGUGCUGCCAGUGAAGAAGAAGUACAGUCCCCAGGCAGCUCCUCUUAGAAGCUUCUGGUUCCUCAGUCCUGCUGGAGCCGAGGUGGAAUGAGGCCAGGCUCAGGCCAGAGACUGCAUCUGGGAUUUCCAGCUCCUUCCAUCUGGACCUUCUGUGGAUCCCCUCUGUGAAGUUCUGAGAGCUGCUGGUUGUGAAUGAGUGAGUGGAUGAACCUCAAGGCAGUUACUAGA